ACCCAGACAGCUUAUCUCCAAAAAGCUGAGCCUAGGUCGCUUCAAAGGUCCUAUCCAGUAUACCAUCUGGAGGGAAAUGCAGUCCAUUCUCUCUCCAGGCCCAUCUCAACUAACUCUGGAUCCUAAAACAGCUCAUCCAAAUCUGGUGCUAUCCAAUAGCCGGACCAGUGUGUGCCACGGUGAUGUUAAACAGGUAAUGCCUGAUGACCCAGAGAGGUUUGAUUCAAGUGUGGCUGUGCUAGGCUCAAAAGGCUUCACCUCUGGGAAAUGGUACUGGGAAAU
rnacentral:lncRNA from 1 species